rnacentral:rRNA from 1 species
AUCACCUACGGGAGGCAGCAGUGGGGGAUAUUGCACAAUGGGGGAAACCCUGAUGCAGCGACGCCGCGUGGGCGAAGAAGUAUUUCGGUAUGUAAAGCCCUAUCAGCAGGGAAGAGGAAAUGACGGUACCUGAGUAAGAAGCACCGGCUAAAUACGUGCCAGCAGCCGCGGUAAUACGUAGGGGGCAAGCGUUAUCCGGAUUUACUGGGUGUAAAGGGAGCGUAGACGGCAUGGCAAGUCAGAUGUGAAAGCCCGGGGCUCAACCCCGGGACUGCAUUUGAAACUGUCAGGCUGGAGUGCAGGAG